UACGGAGGGGGCUAGCGUUGUUCGGAAUUACUGGGCGUAAAGGGCGCGUAGGCGGUCAGUCAAGUCUGAUGUGAAAUCCCUCGGCUCAACUGAGGAAUGGCAUUGGAAACUGGCUGGCUAGAGUACCGGAGAGGGAAGCGGAAUUCCUGGUGUAGCGGUGAAAUGCGUAGAUACCAGGAGGAACACCGGUGGCGAAGGCGGCUUCCUGGCCGAGUACUGACGCUGAGGAGCGAAAGUGUGGGGAGCGAACAGG
rnacentral:rRNA from 1 species